rnacentral:rRNA from 1 species
CCGCCCUUCCAUCCCGUGGAUAGAUAGAGAGGGAGGGCAGAGCUUUUGGUUUUUUCAUGUUGUCAAAGAGUUGAACAAUAGGUUUUUCGUGUUGUCAAAGAGUUGAACAAUGAAAAUAGAUGGCGAGUGCCUGAUCGAAUUGAUCGGGUCAUGUAGGAACAAGGUUCAAGUCUACCGGUCUGUUAGGAUGCCUCAGCUGCAUACAUCACUGCACUUCCACUUGACACCUAUCGUAAUGAUAAACGGCUCGUCUCGCCGUGACCUUC